rnacentral:rRNA from 1 species
UCAGAGGUGAAAUCCUACAGCUCAACUGUAGAACUGCCUUUGAUACUGUUAUACUUGAGUUUGGGUGAAGUGGGUGGAAUGUGUGGUGUAGCGGUGAAAUGCAUAGAUAUGACAUGGAACACCAAUUGCGAAGGCAGCUUACUAACCCAUUACUGACGCUCAUGGACGAAAGCGUGGGGAGCGAACAGGAUUAGAUACCCUGGUAGUCCACGCCGUAAACUAUGAUUACUAGAUGUUGGACAAAUAAUGUCUGCGUUAAUGACAAAUCGAUAAUUAAUCCUCCCGGGGCUGGCGUUCGCAGGCAUGAAACUGAAACGAAUUGACGG